GCAGAAGAGGAGUGAAGCCAUCAGCUGAUUGCUCUCAGACACUGCAAUCUCCUUCUGAAGGGGCCGGGGAGGAGGCUGCAGUCUGUGCAGCUGCCAUUGCAGCCUCUCAGCAGUUGUGAUCUUGCUCUGGUUUGCAAACAGGGACCUGAUCCAUGUCCAACGACCAACACUUCCCUUUCCCACGCCUCUUCUCUAGAUGGCUGCAGUUCUGAGGGCUGGGAAAGCAUCAGCUGCCCUGAGCAACCGGCACUGCCCCUGGCUGGGACCAAGAGGCUUUGACUGCAAAAGGAAGGAGCCGAAGCCUGCGUUCUGCUCCUUGGACCCCUUCCUCCAGCAAGGAUGUGGAUUUGGAGAGCUUCAGCCCUUCUCAGGAGCAGGGAGAAGCCAACUCCUGCCUGGCUCCAAGCUCUUUCCAAGGAGCUGCAGAACAUACGGCUUCGGGAGAAGCCUGUCGGAACAUCCUGGGGUCUGGAAGCCACAGAGCAAGGAGAUGAGGCCCCGUGACUGCACGAAGAGCAGCAGAGAUCAGGAGUCAGCCCCAGGCAGAGCAAGGCCUUGAGCUAAUUGAGGCCAAACAGCUAAAACCUUUGCUUUUUAUUGUAAGAAAGGACCAGAACUCAGGAAGCAAAGAGGCUGCUGCCUGGAGAUCAGACCGUGUCGUGCUGCAGAGGGGCUCCAGCAGCAGCGAGCAUUCUUGGCCUGGACGUGCAGGGCUUGGCACGGGAGCCAAAGCCUCAGCCAAGCUGCUGAUCCCUUCCAGAGGAAUGUGCUGCCUCAUUAACUCCCCAGCCAGCCCAUUAGGGCCAUUUCAUACUUGGUGAGUGUUGAUCAGUUAAGCCAAGCCCUGGGUCAGCUGGUUGAGAGAGGAAGGAUUGCAGCUCCACGAUGUCUGCUGUGGUGCCUGGGUGACCUUGGCUGUUGUGUGAGGGUCCCCUGGUCUCUGGGCACUGCAGGGUCUGCCGCAGGCAGCGCGGAGCAGGCUGCGGCAGAAGGAGCCUGAGGGAUCGACGCUUCCAGCCCUGGAAUUCCAGAGCAGUGCCAAGGAAGCAUGAAGCAGCGAGGCAGAGGAGAGCAGUCAGGUGGCCAGAGGAGCACAGCUCAUGGCUCGGGCAGCGCGAAGGCCAGGGGUGACAAUCAGCCACCUAGUGGGGGCUGUGUCGAGGAGGAGGUGAAUCCAGUGGCAGAAAGGUUUGCUCUUGGAAAGCAGAUGGUGGUGACAGUCCCUAAGUGCACUGUCCGAGAGCCUGAGCUCACCUUCCCAGGGAGGCUGUGGCUGCCUCCUGCCUGGCGUGUUGCAGGGCAGGCUGGAUGAGGCCUUGAGCAGCUGAGUGUAGCUGAGAGGUGUCCCUGGGCAUGGCAGGAGGCUGGAGCAGAGGAGCCCUUUGAGUGUUUUGUGUUUGUGACACCUGGAGCUGCAGCUUCCAUUCCAGGUGUUGAUAGAAAACCAUUGGAGGAGAGAAACUUCACAGAAUCAUAGAAUCAACCACAGGAGUGUGCACACAGCAGCAGGUUCAUAGAGCCACAGGAUGGGAUGGCUUGGAAAGGACUCAAAGCUCAUCCUGUGCCAGCCCCUGCCAUGGGCAGAGACACCUCCCACCAGCACAGGCUGUUCAAAGCUCAUCCAGCCUGACCUGGAACACCUCCAGGGAGGGGGCAGCCACAGCCUCCCUGGGCAGCCUGUGCCAGUGUCUGCUCACCCUCACAAGUCACCUACAAAUUAUUUACCUUCACUCCUCCCUCUCUUUAGUUUAUGACCUCUUGCACUACCUGUUGAGCAGCCCCUUGGGAGUUAUGAUGGGCAAGACUGCCACUGCCACAGGUCACAGAGAUGGAGCGGAGCUCCUGUCCCCUGUUUCCCCAGAAAGGCAUCACUCUGCUGAUAGCUUCUUUGUUGUUGCUGUUGAUUAAUUUUACUCUGGAUCCAAAGGCUCUGCUGUGAAUGCUGUGAGCAGGGUAAAAAUAACCCUGCAGCACGUGG